rnacentral:rRNA from 1 species
CGGGUGAGUAACGCGUGGGUAACCUACCCUGUACACACAGAUAACAUACCGAAAGGCAUGCUAAUACGGGAUAAUAUAUUUGAGAGGCAUCUCUUGAAUAUCAAAGGUGAGCCAGUACAGGAUGGACCCGCGUCUGAUUAGCUAGUUGGUAAGGUAACGGCUUACCAAGGCGACGAUCAGUAGCCGACCUGAGAGGGUGAUCGGCCACAUUGGAACUGAGACACGGUCCAA